GCUGUGGUGAUCAGUGUGCGCAUCGUGCUCUGUUGGCAGUGAGUGGUUGAAUCUAGUGAUGUGUCCUUAUUAGUUUAUGAAAUUUGAAGAGUAUCAUAACAUUACACUUCCUGUAGUGAGCUGAAGCUUGAAAUUCUUUCACAGAACUGUCCUGGGUCAUUUCCGGUUUAUUGAACGUUGUAAGGGUUUUAUAAUCGAGAAGCUAACCUAUUAGAAACGAUCGAUCAGCUGCAGUAUGUGGGACUGCUCCUGUUCGCGCCAAUCGCUAUCGUUAGCGUCGCCCAAAUUGCCCGCAUACUCGCGCAUCACGUUGCGUAUCAUUUUCAUCGACCCGUUGUGAAGGUUCAGAAUCUUUAGGACGCGCUGCUUCACCACAUCCGUGCAGCUGAUCUCGAGGAUCACGUAAUCGACCAGCUGCAGUGUGAAGAGACCGCCGGAGAGCCGCUUCACGUACACCAUGUCGUCGUCCUGCUCCUCGUCCUCAUUGUUGCGCUGGGAGGGGGGAAAGAGAACACCGUUAAACCGUUGCAAUAGACUAUUGGCAAGCCA